rnacentral:rRNA from 1 species
AUUGAACGCUGGCGGCAUGCCUUACACAUGCAAGUCGAACGGCAGCACGGGGCAACCUGGUGGCGAGUGGCGAACGGGUGAGUAAUGCAUCGGAACGUACCUUUCAGUGGGGGAUAACGUAGCGAAAGUUACGCUAAUACCGCAUAUUCUGUGAGCAGGAAAGCAGGGGAUCGCAAGACCUUGCGCUGAUUGAGCGGCCGAUGUCAGAUUAGCGAGAUGGUGAGGUAAAGGCUCACCAAGGCGACGAUCUGUAGCGGGUCUGAGAGGAUGAUCCGCCACACUGGAACUGAGACACGGUCCAGACUCCUACGGGAGGCAGCAGUGGGGAAUUUUGGACAAUGGGGGCAACCCUGAUCCAGCCAUGCCGCGUGAGUGAAGAAGGCCUUCGGGUUGUAAAGCUCUUUCGGCCGGGAAGAAAUCGCACGGGCUAAUACCCUGUGUGGAUGACGGUACCGGAAUAAGAAGCACCGGCUAACUACGUGCCAGCCGCCGCCGUAAAAC